UACGGAGGGUGCAAGCGAUGUUCGGAAUUACUGGGCGUAAAGAGCGUGUAGGCGGUCGAUUAAGUCAGGUGUGAAAGCCCUUGGCUCAACCAAGGAAGUGCAUCUGAAACUGAUCGACUUGAGUACGGGAGAGGCGAGUGGAAUUCCUGGUGUAGAGGUGAAAUUCGUAGAUAUCAGGAGGAACACCGGUGGCGAAGGCGACUCUCUGGACAGAUACUGACGCUGAGACGCGAAAGCGUGGGGAGCAAACAGG
rnacentral:rRNA from 1 species